UACGGGGGGUGCGAGCGUUGUCCGGAAUCACUGGGCGUAAGGGGCGCGUAGGUGGUCUGAUAAGGGUGUGGUGAAAGUCCGGGGCUCAACCCCGGAUCUGCCGUGCCGACUGUCAGACUCGAGGACUGUAGAGGCAGGCGGAAUUCCGGGUGUAGCGGUGGAAUGCGUAGAGAUCCGGAAGAACACCGGUGGCGAAGGCGGUCUGCUGGGCAGUUGCUGGACACUGAGGCGCGACAGCGUGGGGAGCAAACAGG
rnacentral:rRNA from 1 species